ACUUUGCCUAUUUCGCGAUAAGGGUUCUAUUCUACCUGGUGCCAGUUCUCAACGCGGAGUAUAUGCUGGUGAAUAUGAACACUUAGAUUUAUCUGUCUAAAGGUUAUUUGCAAUUGCGAUGUCUACUAUCGCCUGCUCUCCUGCUGCUUCGUCUCUGCUAAGUCUGCCAUCUGCACUUAAAAUAAGUGACCGAAAUAAUUUAAUUGAGAGCGAGAUGAAUGAACCUGAAACAAAAACAAUUCCAAAACCAUUGAGUCCUCGGAUGUGUGCAUUUGCCAGUUUGACAGCAAGUUUGCCAGGG
rnacentral:sRNA from 1 species